GCAUAAUCAUUUGCCUCUUAAUUGGUGGCUAGUAUGAACGGACAAACGAGAGUUAAGCUGUCUCUAAAUUUCAAUUAAAAACUAACCUUUAGGUGAAAAGGCCUAAAUUUUCCUAUAGGACAAAAAGACCCUGUCAAGCUUCACUGUUAACCUUAUGUCCUAUAUCUAAGUAAGCUUAAUAAUUAAAAUUCUCAGUUUAGUUGGGGCGACUAAGGGCCAAAAAAGCGUCCCUUUUUUCCUAAGAAAAAUCUUCCACUCCAAUGAUCCUAUAAAAGAUAAAAAGACCAGCUACUGCAGGGAUAACAGGCUAAUUUUUCCUGAGAGUCCAAAUCGAAGGGAAAGUUUGGCACCUCGAUGUUGGCUUAAGACAUCCAUAAAGUGCAGCAGCUUUAAACGGUGGGUUCGUUCAACCCUUAAAGUCUU
rnacentral:rRNA from 1 species